GGGUCAGUAGGUUGGUCGUGCCACCGGUACGUACUGGUCUCACUGAUUCCUCCUUCCUGAAGAACCGUAAUGCCAUUAAUUUGGUGUUGCGGGGAAACAGGACUGUUACUUUGAAAAAUUAGAGUGUUUAAAGCAAGCUAACGCUUGAAUACAUUAGCAUGGAAUAAUGAAAUAGGACGAUCGAUCCUACUUUGUUGGUUUCUAGGAUUGACGUA
rnacentral:rRNA from 1 species